rnacentral:rRNA from 1 species
UGCAGUCGAGCGACAGAUAGGAGCUUGCUCCUUUGACGUUAGCGGCGGACGGGUGAGUAACACGUGGGUAACCUACCUAUAAGACUGGAAUAACUCCGGGAAACCGGGGCUAAUGCCGGAUAACAUUUAGAACCGCAUGGUUCUAAAGUGAAAGAUGGUUUUGCUAUCACUUAUAGAUGGACCCGCGCCGUAUUAGCUAGUUGGUAAGGUAAUGGCUUACCAAGGCAACGAUACGUAGCCGACCUGAGAGGGUGAUCGGCCACACUGGAACUGAGACACGGUCCAGACUCCUACGGGAGGCAGCAGUAGGGAAUCUUCCGCAAUGGGCGAAAGCCUGACGGAGCAACGCCGCGUGAGUGAUGAAGGGUUUCGGCUCGUAAACUCUG